UGGGGAAUAUUGGACAAUGGGGGCAACCCUGAUCCAGCAAUGCCGCGUGAGUGAAGAAGGCCUUCGGGUUGUAAAGCUCUUUUGUUAGGGAAGAUAAUGACGGUACCUAACGAAUAAGCUCCGGCUAACUUCGUGCCAGCAGCCGCGGUAAUACGAAGGGAGCUAGCGUUGUUCGGAAUUACUGGGCGUAAAGGGCGCGUAGGCGGCCUUGUAAGUCAGAUGUGAAAGCCCCGGGCUUAACCUGGGAACUGCAUUUGAAACUGCAAGGCUAGAGGAUGAGAGAGGAAAGUGGAAUUACGAGUGUAGAGGUGAAAUUCGUAGAUAUUCGUAAGAACACCAGUGGCGAAGGCGGCUUUCUGGCUCAUAUCUGACGCUAAGGCGCGAAAGCGUGGGGAGCAAACAGGAUUAGAUACCCCGGUAGUCC
rnacentral:rRNA from 1 species